UGAAGUAUAGAGGGUGAAUUCUGCCCAAUGGUUGUAUAGUGAAACUGAGGACUAACGUCUAAAGCGAAACCCAACUGAAUGGCCGCGGUAACUCUGACCGUGAUAAUGUAGCACAAUAAAUAGCCAAUUAAUUGUUGGCGGGUAUGAAUGGAACCACGAGGGUCUUACUGUCUCAAGAGGAAAGCCGAUGAAAUUAUAAUUGUAGUGAAGAUACUACAUAAACAUUGUAAGACGAAAAGACCCUAUCGAGCUUUACUGGAUACCGAUAGCGUUAAUUUAGAAUGAUCGAUACUAAGUAUCCUAAUUCUAAGUUAAUAAUUUUUGUUGGUAGGACAGUUUAGUUGGGGCGACUACCUUUGAAUAAGAAACGAAGGCGAGCUUAUGGUAUUAUUUAAAAUCUCAUUAGCCUCACAGUGAGGGGGACACCCCUAGCUGGCACACCCCAAAAGGACAUUUGUCCCCACGUAAGGGAUGUGGGCGAUAGUGACCCGAUAUGAUUAUCCAAAAUAAAUAUCGAAAGCGGAUAAAAGCUACCGUAGGGAUAACAGCGUAAUAUUGUCGGAGAGUUCUUAUCGAGGACAGUGUUUGCGACCUCGAUGUUGAAUUGCGGURCCCUGGUSCUGUAGAAGGUACCUUAGGUUGGUCU
rnacentral:rRNA from 1 species